GUAGCAAAACCUGGUAUUGCGAAAGAUCUAAGCCCUUUUUAUAGAGAUUCAAAUCCUCUCAUUAACUA
rnacentral:tRNA from 1 species